rnacentral:rRNA from 1 species
AGGUUAAGUUACAAAGGGCGCACGGUGGAUGCCUUGGCACUAGGAGCCGAUGAAGGACGGAACUAAUACCGAUAUGCUUCGGGGAGCUAUAAGUAAGCUUUGAUCCG